AAGGGAGACCUAAUUCAGGUAGGAGACGAAAAAAAAGUAGUCGCUACCAAGAAUCAAUCCCAAAAGGUCGGAGCGAGGCGAAAUUGGCUUUCAAACUAGGUUCUGGGUUCACACGAGACCUGAAUCAGGAACAAGGGCUAUUAGCUCAGGUGGUUAGAGCGCACCCCUGAUAAGGGUGAGGUCCCUGGUUCGAGUCCAGGAUGGCCCACCUGUACAGGUGGCAAAAAGAAAGAAAAGAAGCGAGGAAUCAGCACCUUAUCUUACUGACAUAGUAAGAGAGAAUGCUGGCUCUGAGUAAAGAGUCCAGAGGAACCUUGAAAACUGCAUGGAGCUAGGUGAAAAAGCCAAAAAAGAAGACCGCAA
rnacentral:tRNA from 1 species